AGUAUUAUUGGAGUGGAGUUCUUUUAAACACUCAGGCACACCAACAGUAUAGCCUGAGUGUAUAAAAGAACUCCACCACAAUAAUACU